AUCCAGGUGACGAGUCCCAAAUGGGACGAAACGCGCGUCCUGCAU
rnacentral:hammerhead_ribozyme from 1 species